CACGUAAACAACCUGCCUUCAAGAUGGGGACAACAGACGGAAACGACUGCUAAUACCGAAUACGAUCCGAAAGUCGCAUGACAUUUGGAUGAAAAGGGUGGCCUAUCGAAGAAGCUAUCGCUUGAAGAGGGGUUUGCGUCCGAUUAGGUAGUUGGUGAGGUAACGGCCCACCAAGCCGACGAUCGGUAGCCGGUCUGAGAGGAUGAACGGCCACACUGGAACUGAGACACGGUCCAGACUCCUACGGGAGGCAGCAGUG
rnacentral:rRNA from 1 species